UCCCCGUUACCGGGGCAGUCUGAAUAGAAAAAUACAACUAUUCACAAGGGUUGCGCUCGUUAAAGGACUUAACCUAACAUCUCACGACACGAGCUGACGACGGCCAUGCAUCACCUGUCACUUGGUUCCUAAAAGGCACACGCUACUUUCGUAGUGCUUCCAAGGAUUUCAAACCCUGGUAAGGUUCUUCGUUUAUCAUCGAAUUAAAGAACAUAAUCCACCGCUUGUGCGGCUCCCCGUCAAUUCCUUUAUGUUUUAGUCUUGCGACCGUACUCCACAGGCGGGAUGCUUAACGCGUUAGCUUCGCUACUGAAGGGGUCGAUACCUCCAACAGCUAGCAUCCAUAGUUUACGGCGUGGACUAC
rnacentral:misc_RNA from 1 species